AUGGAGAAGAUGGCGCCAGAAACGCCUGCUCGUUCCAACACUGAACGCGCACGAAAGGCUCCGGUACCACCUCCUACGUUCCACCCUAGCCUCUGGGGUGGUUUCUUCCUCACUUACCAACCACCCACUGCCCCUCAGCGUGCAUGCAUGGAAGGAAAGGCUGAAGUGCUGAGAGAAGAAGUUAGGAAGAUGGUAAAUAAAACACAUGAAUUACCAAAAUUAUUGGAUCUUAUAAUGACAUUACAACGGCUCGGGCUGGACAUCUACUAUGAGAACGAGAUCAACGAGCUGCUCCACCGUGCCUACAAGUCUGAUUACAAUGAGGAAGAUCUACAUUUAGUUUCACUCCGAUUUUAUCUUCUGCGGACGAAUGGAUAUGAUGUAUCAGCUGAUGCAUUCCUUCGUUUCAAAGACGAUGAAGGGAAUUUUAUGCUCGACAAUACAAGAAGUAUUCUGAGCUUAUAUAAUGCAGCAUACCUUAGGACACAUGGAGAGCAGGUGCUCGAUGAGGCCAUAAUAUUCACAACAAGACACCUAGAAGGUGUAUUACAACAAUCAUCACCACUAGCAAAUGAAAUAUCUCUAGCCCUUGAAGCACCACUUUUCCGAAGGGCUCGCAUAGUAGAAAUGAGAAGCUACAUCCAUAUUUAUGAUAAUGGUGCUACAAAAAAUGAAGCCAUAUUGGAGUUCGCAAAAUUGAAUUUCAAUCUUCUGCAACUUCUUUAUUGUGAGGAGCUAAACAACAUCACACUUUGGUGGAAGGAGCUCCAUGAAGAAUCAAAGUUAGAAUUUUCUAGAGAUAGAAUAGUGGAAAUGUAUUUUUGGAUGAAUGGAGCAUGUUAUGAACCUCAAUAUCAUAACUCACGGAUUAUACUUACAAAGAUGACAGCAUUUAUGACCGUACUAGAUGAUAUCUUUGACACAUAUGGUACCACCGAAGAGAGCAUGCAACUUGCCGAAGCAAUCAACAGGUGGGAUGAAAGUGCAACGGAACUGCUUCCAUCAUACAUCAAGGGGUUCUACUUAUAUUUAUUGAAGACAUUUCAUUCAUUUGAGAAUGAACUAGGACUUGGGAAGAGCCACCAUGUGCACUAUCUAAAAGAAGCGUUGAUGCGAUUAGUUCAAGCGUACACGGAGGAGCUAAAAUGGCGUGAUGGAAAUUAUGUGCCAAAAACACUGGAAGAACAUCUUGGGGUUUCAGCGAGGAGCAGUGGAGGCUUCACACUUGCGUCUGCUUCAUUAUUUGCUGGAGUAGGCGGCAUAGCAACAACAGACACGUUCGAGUGGAUUCUGAACUAUCCGCAACUUUUCAAGACCUUUGAUAUGUUUGUACGGUUCUCCAAUGACAUCGUAUCAAGCCAGCGUGAGCAAACCGGGGACCACUACGCCUCUACGAUCCAGUGCUACAUGGAAGAGCACGGCGUGAUGGUGCAGGACGCCCGCGAGAAGAUCAAAGACCUCGUCGAGGACUCGUGGAAAGACAUGGUGCGACACUGCGUCGCGCCGACCGAGCGGCAGCAGCCGCUGGCCGUGCCGCGGACGGUCGUCAACUUCGCGAGGACGGUGAAUAACAUGUACAAGCGCGGCGACGCCUUCACUUCCUCGCACGAGAUCAAGGAGAUGAUCACGUUGCUCUACGUGGAACCAAUUGCUUAA
rnacentral:rRNA from 1 species